UGUUACAUGAUCCUUCUGUUUUAGGCCAUACUGUCAAUUUGUCAAUCACAUCAGACAGUAAUCGGGCUUUCCACUUAUUUAAGCAGAAUAUGUUACAUUAGUUUAUAGUAAGACUCGACUUACAGUCUCAGAACAGAGUAUCAAUCCCCUGUAGGGCUUCCUUUGUUUCACUAUAGUUCUGUGACAUUGUACAAACUAACUAACUAACUCGAGAUAUGCCUAAAGUUUCUUUCACAACUCACUCACUUGGUGUGCAUGUGAUGUUACUUUCACACACAUAGAAGUAAAAGUAACUCCAAGCAUACAAUUACAUGCUUAAGCUCAUAUUUUGUUUGUUAGGCGACAGUGUGGAACCGUAUCAAAUGCCUUUCUGGAUGUCAAGGAACAUGACUUCAGUCUGAGUGCCAGUGUGUACUGCAGUCUGGAUGUCAUUGGCAGACUGAGUGAGCUGAGUUUCACAAGACCAUUUUUUGCGGAAUUCAUGUUGAUUCCAAUGGAGGAAUUUUUUAUUAUAAAAUUUUUGUUCUCUACAAAAUCAUAAUACAUACACAAGCAUAAAACAUUUUCUAUAAUUCUACAACAGGUUGAUGUUUGUGGUGCAACUGUAUAGUUUCGUGAAUUUGUAAAAUUGUAUAGUGACCCUUCUUCACAUAGGAAUGACAUGCAUCUUUUUCCAAUCACUUGGAAUACUUUCCUGCUCCUCUACUUACCUACAGUAAAAUUUACUAGAUUCCCUUAUUUAUGUAAAUGUAAUUCACGCAUUUUUAUGAUGUGCAGUAUUCUAAUGGCGCAUUUCAUUUUAGUACAAACUUGAAUCCCUCAUUCAUCGGCAACAUCAUUGUAAUUUCGGUAUUGUUCCUUAUGCCACAGUGCAGUGUUGUAAUUCUCAACUUUUUCACCUUAUUGUUGACUUAUGACUGCAUAUUGUGUUUGCAUUAGGUAGUCAUGAAAUGGAAAGCAGGCAGAGAAGAACAACUGUAAAGUAUUUUUUUUUUUAUGCUGAAGAAUAUCGUAACAGGAGGGAGGAGCGAGCUCAAUGUAACUGAGAGUAAUGUUCUCUUAUGGAAAAACAGAAAUUGGCAUUAUUUGCAGCUACUAGAAAGAAGUUCACUGACCCUUGCAAAGGAAGACAUUCUGACUUUGAAGUAAAAGCUUUGGAAUUCAUCUGUGAAAGGAGGAAGAAUGAGCACCCUAUGACUAGUGACCCCAGAGAAACAAAGCAAAAGAGGUGGCUGCAGUGUUUAAUAUCCGAGCCAAGAGCUUAGCGCUAGCCAUGGAUAGAUUGAUCACUUUAUGGAAUAGGUAGACGUAACUCUACAAUGCUGUAUGCCAAAAGCUUCCAUAGGAUUUUGAGAAAAACUUCAAGAAUUUCAGCAAUAUAUCAUCACACUUUGAGAAGAAUUUUUUGAUGUGCCAAAUGGGCAACACAGAUGAGAUGCCAAAUGGUUUGAUAUGCCACGUAAUUACACGAUUGAUGAGAAGGGGACAACAGAAGUUAUCAUCAGAACAUCAGAGUGUGAAAAACAGUGCAUAACUGUAAUGCUGCUGAUCGUGGCAGAUGGGUGCAAACGUCCCCCCAUUCUUAAUCUUAGAGUGGAAAACAAGCUCCAAGACCCAUAAAAAAAGGAAAGCUGUUCCCUGAAGAUUUCAUUUUUUGCAAUCAAGAGACGAAAUGGAUUACUGAAACUUUAAUGCUUGACUUGCUUUGAAACAUAUAGGAAUUCCAUCCUGGUGGGCUUUCCAAACUACUAUCCUUACUUUGUUUCAAUGCAUUUUGUGGUCAUCUCACUAACCGUCUAAAAAAGAAGAUCCACAGCCUAUCCAGUGACCCUGUUGUUAUUCCUGAAGGAAUGACUUCCAUAUCGCAACGUUUGGAUAUUAGUAUAAAUAAAACUUUCAAAGGUUACGUUCAGAUACAGUUCAAGAGAUGGUUUUGUCUGCCAAACUGUGAACUGAUUCCAACAGGAAAAAUUAAGCAUGCUGCACCCCGCAUUAUUGCGCAUUGGGUUUCAGCUCCCUGGAAAAGCAUAAAGUCAUCAGUGAUCGUAAAAUGCUGUACUUCAGAUACUCUGGAUGGCAAUGUAGGUGAUGUGCUCUGGAAUGACACCAACAAUGAUAGGGAAAGAAGAAAUGAAUCUGUUUCUGAUGUGGACUUCUCCAAGGAUACCAGUAAUGAUGACAUUAGUGAAUAAUCAUGAGUAAUUCCUGUAAUUUAAGGAAUUUUUGCAGUCACCUGAAGUGGUACAGUUUUUAAGAAGCCAUGUGAAAAGCUCAUGACAGUUGCUUCUAUGUUAUCACAUUAAAUCUUGAGACUGUGCUAUGAAACAAAUUGUGAAGGGCUCCUGUACAAUAUCUUAUCCUCUUGAAUGAUAUUGCAAACAUUGUAAUGGAUCUUGUGGAAGAUUUGUCUGGAGUUUAUUGUCUCCAAAUAAUUUUCUGUUGCAAAGUACUGUAGCAAUGCAAAUGCGCAUACAUUCGAUUUUCGUGAAACCAUAAAUAAGAAUAUAGGACUAACAAGCAUUUUUAAAGACGAACUGAUGAAUAUGUCUCCAUUCUCAAAGAUUCUGUUGCUGAAAGAAGACAAUAGAAAUACAGUAAUAUUUUUUAUCAAAGUCUCUUUCUAUGUUAGUGUCCAUGUGAAAUUUAAUUAAAUUAAGGUGGAAUAGAAACCUUUCAAAUAUGUUCGAUGAAUUUUAGAGAUGUAGAAGGAAGGAAUAUGGAAGUAAUAAUGACUCACAAUAAGUGUUCUGAAUUAAGAAUGUGAUAGUGAUAUUUCAAAAUAAAUUACCACCAAUAUUCCA